GACGAACGCUGGCGGCGUGCUUAACACAUGCAAGUCGAACGGAAAGGCCCUGCUUUUGUGGGGUGCUCGAGUGGCGAACGGGUGAGUAACACGUGAGUAACCUGCCCUUGACUUUGGGAUAACUUCAGGAAACUGGGGCUAAUACCGGAUAGGAGCUCCUGCUGCAUGGUGGGGGUUGGAAAGUUUCGGCGGUUGGGGAUGGACUCGCGGCUUAUCAGCUUGUUGGUGGGGUAGUGGCUUACCAAGGCUUUGACGGGUAGCCGGCCUGAGAGGGUGACCGGGCACAUUGGGACUGAGAUACGGCCCAGACUGCUACGGGAGGCAGCGGUGGGGAAUAUUGCACAAUGGGCGGAAGCCUGAUGCAGCAACGCCGCGUGCGGGAUGACGGCCUUCGGGUUGUAAACCGCUUUCGCCUGUGACGAAGCGUGAGUGACGGUAAUGGGUAAAGAAGCACCGGCUAACUACGUG
rnacentral:rRNA from 1 species